rnacentral:rRNA from 1 species
ACUGCGAAUGGCUCAUUAUAUAAGUUAUCGUUUAUUUGAUAUUGCCUAUCCUACAUGGAUAACAGUGGUAAUUCUAGAGCUAAUACAUGCUGAAAAUCCCGACUUCGGAAGGGACGUAUUUAUUAGAAUCAGAACCAAUGCCCUUCGGGGUUCCUUGGUGACUCAUGAUAACUCCACAGAUCGCAUGGCCUUGCGCCGGCGAUGGCUCAUUCAAAUUUCUUCCCUAUCAACUUUCGACGGUACGGUAUUGGCCUACCGUGGUUGUAACGGGUGACGGAGGGUUAGGGCUCGACCCCGGAGAGGGAGCCUGAGAAACGGCUACCACAUCCAAGGAAGGCAGCAGGCGCGCAAAUUAUCCAAUCCCGACACGGGGAGAUAGUGACAAUAAAUACCGAUACAGGGCUCUUUUGGGCCCUGUAAUUGGAAUGAGUACAAUUUAAACCUCUUAACGAGGAACAAUUGGAGGGCAAGUCUGGUGCCAGCAGCCGCGGUAAUUCCAGCUCCAAUAGCGUAUAUUAAAGUUGUUGUGGUUAAAAAGCUCGUAGUCGAACCUCGAACCUGGCCGGCCGGUCCGCCUCACCGCGUGCACUGGUCUGGCCGGGUUCUUCCCUCUGCGGAACCGCAUGUCCUUCACUGGGCGUGUCGGGGAGGCAGGACUUUUACUUUGAAAAAAUUAGAGUGCUCAAGGCAGGCCAAUGCUCGAAUACAUUAGCAUGGAAUAAUAGAAUAGGACGUUGGUUCUAUUUUGUUGGUUUCUAGGACCGCCGUAAUGAUCAAUAGGGACGGUCGGGGGCAUCAGUAUUCAGCCGUCAGAGGUGAAAUUCUUGGACCGGCUGAAGACUAACUACUG